rnacentral:rRNA from 1 species
ACGCUCGACACCUACGGGAUGCAGCAGUGGGGGAUAUUGCACAAUGGGGGGAACCCUGAUGCAGCGACGCCGCGUGAGGGAAGAAGGUUUUCGGAUUGUAAACCUCUGUCCUCAGGGAAGAAGAUGACGGUACCUGAGGAGGAAGCCACGGCUAACUACGUGCCAGCAGUCGCGGUAAUCUGAGCGGGCUGGCAAGGC